AACGAACGCUGGCGGCAGGCUUAACACAUGCAAGUCGAACGCACCUUCGGGUGAGUGGCAGACGGGUGAGUAACGCGUGGGAACCUUCCCUAUGGUACGGAAUAGCUCCGGGAAACUGGAAUUAAUACCGUAUAAGCCCUUUUGGGGAAAGAUUUAUCGCCAUAGGAUGGGCCCGCGUCGGAUUAGCUAGUUGGUAGGGUAAUGGCCUACCAAGGCAACGAUCCGUAGCUGGUCUUAGAGGAUGAUCAGCCACACUGGGACUGAGACACGGCCCAGACUCCUACGGGAGGCAGCAGUGGGGAAUAUUGGACAAUGGGCGAAAGCCUGAUCCAGCCAUGCCGCGUGAGUGACGAAGGCCUUAGGGUUGUAAAACUCUUUUGGCGGGGACGAUAAUGACGGUACCCGCAGAAUAAGCCCCGGCUAACUUCG
rnacentral:rRNA from 1 species